rnacentral:snRNA from 1 species
AUCGCUUCUCAGCCUUUUGGCUAAGAUCAAGUGUAGUAUCUCUUCUUAUCAGUUUAAUAAGUCUAAUAAAACAUCUAGGUUUUUAGAAUGUGAAGAGACACAUAACUUCUUAGUUUUCCUUCUGUCAUGCUAUUUACAUUAAUAUCUGUGUGUCCAUAUC